GAGUGUGGAGAAUAUAUCAUACUGGCGAAAUGGGACGCAGUCCCUGAUCGAGGAAAGGAAGCAAAGAAGCAGAAGGAUGCGGAAUAUGAAGGGGCUGGGGAUAGAGCCAAUAACCAAAAGAUGCUUACGUUGGAUUUGUUCAGAGCGGUGAACAGAUCAUUUCAAAGUCGAUCACUUGUUCGAUAUGAACACUGACAGUGUUGUUAUUUAUCAUUGAUUGUGCUUGUAACUGGGCCUGUAGGUGGCACGGUCUAGCAUCCCACAUUCUAAAAUCCUAGUGCUAUUAACAACAAUGCUGCAAAUACACAAGAAGAAACAUUUCUAAUCAACUACUGCAAACACUAGAACAAAAGUAGUGGUAAAAAUGGAUGGUGAAACUUCACCGUUUCACCGCCAUUAUUAGUCUGCAUGUUCCCUCCAACACAGUAGCAUCAACACACACCUUUUGAUAAUGUACAACCUUGCUUUCUUCUCCUUCAACAUUCUCUUCGAUGCCUGAACCUUGGUUUUCUUCUCCGGGUUAUAAGGAAGGGGGAAAAGGAGAGGAAUCUUUUACGUUGUGUGAGUUACUAUUGGCUGACAUCAGUUUCAGUUGGAAAGUCAGUAAAUUAUGUCGUGGGGCGGUAAACAAGGCCCUGAGAGAGUCCACCAGUCAACCGGGGUGGUGCUGCUUUUCUGUUCCGGAAGGCUGUCUCUGCUUCCGCCUGGUCCAAUAUCCAGAUUUCCAGGUGCGUUUAUAGUGAGACCUAGAGACCCAACUCAGUACCUUUUCAUGGAGAGCAACUUACAUGGACUGGGACGUCUUGUGGCAGUGAACCUAUUACAGGUAAGUCCUCUUUUCAUGGGUUUGGAAGACUAUUUACCCUUGGUAAACUGCUUGGUCAGUUUGGUUUCAAUAUUUUAAAAGUAAAAAACCAACCGAAGCGGUCCUGAACCGGUUGAGAACUCCGUGAAUUGGUGAUGAACUGGUUUGAAUACUCCAACGAGCGGUCCAUAUUUUCGAUGAACUGGAUGUGUAGGUGGUGAGGGAGGAUUAGUGCUCGUUUGGAUGUGUUUUUAAAAUGACUGAAAGUACUUUUGGUGAAAUUGAUUUUUGAACCAAUCCUUAGUAAAAAUGCAAGUAAAUUCUGAAAAAAGCAUUUAAAGUGCUUCAUGAAAGAAGCACUAGUUCCUGAAAGAAGCACAUAACUAGUGCUUCUUGCAGAAAGCAUUUUAAGUGCUUUUGGAACCAAAAAAUAUUUUCUUUAAAAGCGUUUUCAGUCAUUUUAAAAUCACAUCCAAACAAGUCCUAAGAUAAAUAGGCAGGUGAGGGUUAUUAUUGGGCUCAAAUGAAUGGGCCGAUAUUGGGUUUGAAAUGGGUCCACUAAAAGUGUUGAGAUCCAAAAAGUAGUAACACGAAGCCUAAACAAAACCCUCAUCGCUGCGUGUAAUUACGCACAUACCCCCAGGCGACAACCUCAGCACCUCCGCCUCUUUGUUCUUCUCCGCAGACGAUAUAGAAAGAGUCCGUAGUUAUUGUUUUUUAGUUAAUUAUUAUUAUUUAUUUUAUUUUUUGGAAUUGCAUUUUUGAGUGGAUUAUUUGGGUGAGCUCCCUCCGAUGAUGAAUUUGUUGCUCGUUAAUAUAAAAAUAUCGUUCCAAUUUCUGAAGCUGUAAGAAUCGCAGCUUCCUUCCGUGUGGAACUCAAGGGAUAUCUGAGGGAG